rnacentral:lncRNA from 1 species
GUCCUUUAGAGUACAGUAGAUUAGGGUACAUCACAGUACAGUAGAGCACAGUCCUAUAGUGUACAGUACAGUAGAGUACAGUACAGUCCUUUAGAGUACAGUAGAUUAGGGUACAUCACAGUACAGUAGAGCACAGUCCUAUAGUGUACAGUGCAGUAGAGUACAGUACAGUCCUUUAGAGUACAGUAGAUUAGGGUACAUCACAGUACAGUAGAGCACAGUCCUAUAGUGUACAGUACAGUAGAGUACAGUACAGUCCUUUAGAGUACAGUAGAUUAGGGUACAUCACAGUACAGUAGAGUACAGUCCUAUAGUGUACAGUACAGUAGAGCACAGUCCUAUUGUGUACAGUACAGUAGAGUACAGUACAGUCCUUUAGAGUACAGUAGAUUAGGGUACAUCACAGGACAGUAGAGCACAGUCCUAUAGUGUACAGUACAGUAGAGUACAGUACAGUCCUUUAGGGUACAUCACAGUACAGUAGAGCACAGUCCUAUAGUGUACAGUACAGUAGAGCACAGUCCUAUAGUGUACAGUACAGUAGAGUACAGUACAGUCCUUUAGAGUACAGUAGAUUAGGGUACAUCACAGUACAGUAGAGCACAGUCCUAUAGUGUGCAGUACAGUAGAGUACAGUAGAGUCCUUUAGAGUACAGUAGAUUAGGGUACAUCACAGUACAGUAGAGCACAGUCCUAUAGUGUACAGUACAGUAGAGUACAGUACAGUCCUUUAGAGUACAGUAGAUUAGGGUACAUCACAGUACAGUAGAGCAGAGUCCUAUUGUGUACAGUACAGUAGAGUACAGUACAGUCCUUUAGAGUACAGUAGAUUAGGGUACAUCACAGUACAGUAGAGCACAGUCCUAUAGUGUACAGUACAGUAGAGAACAGUACUGUCCUUUAGAGUACAGUAGAUUAGGGUUCAUCACAGUACAGUAGAGCACAGUCCUAUAGUGUACAGUACAGUAGAGUACAGUCUAGUCCUUUAGAGUACAGUAGAUUAGGGUACAUCACAGUACAGUAGAGCACAGUCCUAUAGUGUACAGUACAGUAGAGUACAGUACAGUCCUUUAGGGUACAUCACAGUACAGUAGAGCACAGUCCUAUAGUGUACAGUACAGUAGAGCACAGUACAGUAGAGUACAGUACAGUAGAGCACAGUCCUAUAGUGUACAGUACAGUAGAGUACAGUCCUAUAGAGUACAGUACAGUAGAGCACAGUCCUAUAGUGUAGAGUACAGUAGAUUAGGGUACAUCACAGUACAGUAGAGCACAGUCCUAUAGUGUACAGUACAGUAGAGUACAGUACAGUCCUUUAGAGUACAGUAGAUUAGGGUACAUCACAGUACAGUAGAGCACAGUCCUAUAGUGUGCAGUACAGUACAGUACAGUCCUUUAGAGUACAGUAGAUUAGGGUACAUCACAGUACAGUAGAGCACAGUCCUAUAGUGUACAGUAGAUUAUUUAUUUAUUUUAUUUAACUAGGCAAGUCAGUUAAGAACAAAUUCUUAUUUACAAUGACAGCCUACCCUGGCCAAACCCUAGUGGCUGUAGUGGCUGUUUUAAAAGGUUUACGUGAAUAAUAUUUCCCUGUGCAACUCUGUUUUCUGUAUUUGUUAUGAUACAGAGCUGAGAGAGCAGGCAGUGCACAGCUCAGUUGAUAAGGUUAAGGUCAUUACCCCCUGCUUUUUGUAUCCAUAUUUUUCUCCCCUAUUGAGAAUGCAACCACAGAUAAACUCUCCUUUGACCUUUUGGUUGGUUGUAUCAAAAACAUUGUUAUUCUUCUGUUAAUAUACAGCAAUUUGUUAUUCAACCAUCUGAGAUAACCUUUCAUGAGUGUGUUUUUCCUUUGCAUCACAUGCUAGUCAGUUACAGUGAAGGCCAUCCUCCAGACCCAUUUGCCUCCCACUCCUUUCCUUCCACUCAUUCAAGCCAAACAUUUUCAAUAUUAACAUAGAAAAUAUCAACACUGUUGCUUUGUUAAACCAGUAUUAGUUGAUUAAAUUACAAAUGAUGCUGUGAUAUUAUGGAGGCUGCCAGGGGAUUGUGUGUGCACAAUGAUGUCUCAUGUUAAAAUCCAUAUACCGUUAUCAGUAGGGAACAGGUAUCCAUGAGACUGCAACAGAGUGUCAGAGCCGAGUCAGAGGGAUAAACAAAGAGAUGGUUGGAUCUAACUGUAGAAUUUGGCAAAGGCAUUUUCCAUUGUGUGGUCGAUUGUGCAUAACAUGCAUCAGAUCAGGAGAACAGCUCUGGAUGCUCCACCCCAGUACAACAGAAGACAGUCUCUAGUGGUGUCUCCCUACGAUGAACGUACUGCUGCCAUGGCCCACGGAAACAUUGGUUCCCAGGUGAAAAAAAGCCUCCGUCUUUACAUAGUAGGGGAGAGUGGGCUUCCAGGGAGGCUGUUUAUCAUCGGUAAGCCCAGUAGCUAUCACCUGGAUGGGAUCCUGCCCCGCCUUCCGUCCUACGAGAGCGUCCGUAAGAAGGACCGUCAGAGACAGAUCCACUCUAUGAUAGCCAACCGCUUUGGUAUCAGCCCCACACAGUCUGAAACGGAGCCUCCUCCGACGUAUGAGGAGACUCUUCGCCAGUCCAUGAUCAUCUCCUCUGAAGACCUACAGUCUGUUGAGGCACGUCCCUCAGACCUCCCUCUCUCCACCUCUACCUCCAGCCUUGAACACACAGUGACAGUAGCCCGGUCACCCUACCACCCUAUUCAGAGCCCGACCCAGGAACCCCUCUCUGUCUAGUCCAGGAGUUAUUUGAGGGCCGGAACACUACUGGUUUUCAACUUCGCAUUUUAACUACAGACUCAUGUUUCUACCCUUUGCAAGAGAAAAGAAGACAAAUCAACAAAGAAAGAGACAUUGUCAUGAUAAUGCAUGAGUCAGUUUCACUCAGAGUUUGUCCUACUGAGACUAACGCUCUCAACUCUGACUGUCUGUUGGUGUAGCGAGUGGUUUUAACAUGACUGUAUGCUGUAAAUGGCUUGAUAUCCUGCCACUGGCAAUGAUAUCCUUUAUCAGCUAAAUAAUCAAAUCAGCCUACAUUUCAAACUCUAGACAUGCUCGGGUGUGUGGAAAGAAGAUGUCCGCACCUCACAAGCAGACAUAUUAUGCUUCAAUCACAACGUCCAAUGUUGUAGACAACCACAAAACAAGGACACUGUCUCGAGUUGAACGUGUUAAUGAAAAAUCGAAAUCUCCUUGUUUCAAAAGAACACCGAGCUAUGAAUACCCAGCUACCUGACAUGUGAUGAUGACGGCUUUGAGUGUAGGGCCAGACCAGAGAGCUGUUGUGGUUGAACACAUCACUAAUUAUUAACACUACUGAGACAGACAAUGCCUAUGUCCCAAAUGGCACCCUUAAUCCCCAUGUAGUGCACUACAUAGGAAAUAGGGUCCCAUUUGAGACACAAUCAAAGUGUGUUCACUCAGGAACAGUUGACCAGGGACUGUUUGUCUUAACCCAGGUCAAACUAACUAUGCACAGAGAAACUCACAAUGACCCUGACGUUUUCUGACCGUGACGUUCCGGAUUGUUUUUGAAACUGCACUGUCGGUUAGGGGCUCGUAAGUAAGCAUUUCACUGUAAGGUGUGACCUGUUGUACUCGGCGCAUGUGACUAAUACAAUUUGAUUUGAUUUACCUCCUGGGCUAAACUGGAAUGGGUUUGUCAAUGUGUUUAGACUGAGAUACGUUAUGUAUACUAUGUAAAACAUUCCUAUUAUGUGUGACCCAAAUCAAACAAAAAAACAUGUGAAAGUAAUAGUUAAAUAGCUGAACCAAAAAGGGUAAAAUAGGUGAACUAAAGUAGAUAUAAAUUACCUAUCCGCUUUUUAAAAAAGUUUACUCUAACCACGUUUCCAUCCACAUUUUUAAUGCUAGUAAAGUCAGCUGUGAAGGAAACAAGAAGUUUCAGUACUAUUUUAUAAAUGCUGACAGAUCAUUUGUUCGUUCGACAUGGUGGGAUCUUUUUGUGUCUGUAAAAUGUGUUAUGUGAGAAAUGGCGGUGGAAACUCGUUUAUGCACAAAUAUUGAUAUAACAACCAUCGUAUGGAAGUAAACUUGGAGUCACGCGAUGACAUGGUGUGUGUGGUCCUCCCACUACGACUGGGGAAUCCAUGCAGUUUAUUAGAAUACAGAUGAAAUAAAUGAUGAACUUCACAGGGGGGUGAAAGUGCACAGUGAUGAGCUUGAUGCUCCUUUCCAAUAAAUAUUGAGGGUCUGAUUCUGGUGAUCGAUGCUUGACUGCCAUUUGACAAAAACAAAUAUUGUUGCUCCUAUCCAUAAUAAUCUCAUCAUGUAGACUAGCCUACCCGCACUGUAUCUACAAGCUGUUGGCUAGAGCGAACGUGCCAAGACCAAUGAGCCUGUCCUCCUACAGCUCCCCCCACCAGCCUCCAUUGCAGAGUAGGUACAUUUACUAUUUAACGUAACAGUUCUUUGUGACAAAACUAUCAGUAGAAGUGAAAAUGUGAUGGCAACAUAUUGAACUUUAGACUUUUAUUAAGUACAUGAAAACUUAAGCAAAAAAGAAAAUUGUGUGCGUCAUCGCUCACUGAUUUUUAUUUGCAAGAAGUCAGUUUGAAUUACACCACUAGUGGGAAAAUCUCCAUAUUUUCUUUAUGCAGAUUUAUUGAAUAUUCACAUGAAAAUCAGUCUCUAAUUAAAUGGAAAACUAGCUAGUGAGACAAAUUAGUUUAGAUUUGUUGUAUUAACUUGACCUAUAUUCAUCUGACAGGAUUGCUAUCAAACUUACUGUCAAGGUGUCAAAAGGGAACACUCCUGCUGUUCUGUUCAUUGACGUUUGUUAAAGUGAGUUAAUUUGUCCGUUUUUCUCUACCAGGCACAAAUAUGUCCAUAUCCUAGAAUAGAUGGUGAGUAAUGUCAGCGAAGGGAGUAGCGACCUCAUUUUAACCUCUCCCUCUUUGCAGAGUUUCUCUCCCCAAACGCAAUCUUCCCCUAAGCACUUACAAAUCUUAUAACACAACACGCUCUAAACUACAGCGCUCAUCAGUUAUUAGAGGGCCUCCAUGAGAAGUGUUUUGACAAGCUGUCAUCUUGUGGUGAAUGUACCAGGGCAUUCGUAAUGUAUUCCACACUCCCCUGCAUUCCACUGGGAGGAGUUGACAUACCAUCUGUAACUCAUACUCUCAAAAUAAAUGGCACCUAACUCACUCUACAGGUUCUGAGUAAAGUAUGAUUUGUAAAAUACUAUAAACAUCCUGCCAUCACACUGGGCACAGACAUCAGUCCAAAUUCUACUUUUGAUUUCCAUUUGGUGGAGUUGUCAACUACUGUGAAUUCAACAACAAAACAUCUCACCAUGUCAUUGGAUUUAGGUUCAAAGUUU